AACGAACGCUGGCGGCGUGGAUUAGGCAUGCAAGUCGAACGAGAAUCUGGUGCUUCGAGUUUUCGGACAAGAAGCAUCGGAGGACAGUGGCGGAAGGGUGAGGAAUACAUGGGCAAUCUAUCUUCAAGUUGGGUAUAACUCCGCGAAGGUGGAGAUAAUCCCGAAUGUGGUGAUCCGGCGCAUGCCGGAGAAACUAAAGGCAGGGACCGCAAGGCCUGUCGCUUGAAGCCGAGCCCGUGCACUAUCAGCUAGUUGGUGAGGUAACGGCCCACCAAGGCUAUGACGGUUAGCUGGUCUGAGAGGAUGGUCAGCCACACUGGGACUGAGAUACUGCCCAGACUCCUACGGGAGCUGCAGUCGAGAAUCAUUCGCAAUGGGCGAAAGCCUGACGGUGCGACGUCGCGUGGAGGAUGAAGGUCUUCGGAUUGUAAACUCCUGUCAUGGAGGAUAAAGUCGGCGGGGCACGAAUAGU
rnacentral:rRNA from 1 species